rnacentral:rRNA from 1 species
AACGAACGCUGGCGGCAUGCCUAACACAUGCAAGUCGAACGAGACCUUCGGGUCUAGUGGCGCACGGGUGCGUAACGCGUGGGAAUCUGCCCUUGGGUUCGGAAUAACUCAGAGAAAUUUGAGCUAAUACCGGAUGAUGACGUAAGUCCAAAGAUUUAUCGCCCAAGGAUGAGCCCGCGUAAGAUUAGCUUGUUGGUGGGGUAAUGGCCUACCAAGGCGACGAUCUUUAGCUGGUCUGAGAGGAUGAUCAGCCACACUGGGACUGAGACACGGCCCAGACUCCUACGGGAGGCAGCAGUGGGGAAUAUUGGACAAUGGGCGAAAACCUGAUCCAGCAAUGCCGCGUGAGUGAUGAAGGCCUUAGGGUUGUAAAGCUCUUUUACCAGGGAUGAUAAUGACAGUACCUGGAGAAUAAGCUCCGGCUAACUCCGUG